rnacentral:rRNA from 1 species
AACGAACGCUGGCGGCGUGGAUAAGACAUGCAAGUCGGACGCUGAUUUCAGGGUAGCAAUAUUCUGGAGUCGGAGUGGCGCAAGGGUGCGUAACACGUGGGUAAUUUGCCGUGAAGCCUGGGAUAACUUGCUGAAAGGCGAGCUAAUACCGGAUGUGAUUAUCGGGAGGCAUCUCCUGAACCUUAAAGUUGGGGACCGUAAGGCCUGACACUUCACGAUAAGCCCGCGGCCAUCAGCUAGUUGGUGAGGUAACGGCUCACCAAGGCUAAGACGGGUAGCUGGUCUGAGAGGACGACCAGCCACACUGGAACUGAGACACGGUCCAGACACCUACGGGUGGCAGCAGUCGAGAAUUUUUCACAAUGGGCGAAAGCCUGAUGGAGCGACGCCGCGU